rfam:Oryza glumipatula chromosome 2, whole genome shotgun sequence.
AAAAAGACAAACCCUGGUUUUCCGUGUCCAACUUUGACUGCUCGUCUUAUAUAAAAAAUUUUUAUAAUUCGUAUUUUCAUUGUUGUUAGAUGAUAAAACAUGAUUAAUAUUUUAUGCGUGACUUGUCUUUUUAAUUUUUUUCAUAAUUUUUUCAAAUAAGACGGACAGUCAAACGUUGGGCACGGAAACUAGAGUUUGUCUUUUUU